AGCAGUCGCCGCGGGAAUACAGAGGGUGCGAGCGUUAAUCGGAUUUACUGGGCGUAAAGCGUGCGUAGGCGGCUUCUUAAGUCGGAUGUGAAAUCCCUGAGCUUAACUUAGGAAUUGCAUUCGAUACUGGGAAGCUAGAGUAUGGGAGAGGAUGGUAGAAUUCCAGGUGUAGCGGUGAAAUGCGUAGAGAUCUGGAGGAAUACCGAUGGCGAAGGCAGCCAUCUGGCCUAAUACUGACGCUGAGGUACGAAAGCAUGGGGAGCAAACAGGAUUAGAGACCCGUGUAGUCCCUGUCUCUUAUAA
rnacentral:rRNA from 1 species